rnacentral:lncRNA from 1 species
AUGUCAUUUUCCUGUGCACCAGACAAAAACUGCAUUACAGGUUUCGAAACAAAGUUAAUAAAAACAUACGAUGUAGUAAAAUAUUAUAAUAGUAAGAGCGACUAUGCAAGACGCACAUGGAAAUGUCUCACAAGCUUAAGUCCAAAUGAAGACAUUAUUUUAACAGAAGGAGUUGAAAAAAGGAAAGUUUAUUUAUUAGGUUUAAAUUAUGACGAAUAUGUUUUAGUUAGAGGUAGUUUUCGUUUUCGAGUAAUAAAGGGGAUGGUUCAUUUUUCUGAUCAUGUUAUGACACCUUCACGUAAAUAUAUAAAUAUUCGUAUACCCCCAUAUUAUCCUUUUUUUAAAUUAAGAGCAUUAAGUGAUAAUAAUAUAAAUUAUGUAAAUAAUAAUUUUAUUUUUUGUAAGCAAGAAAAAAAUAUAGAAAUUAAUACAAAUGUUAAAAAUGUACAUGAGUGUACUAUGGGUAUAUGUAACAUUAAUAACGACACUUGUAAUAUUAGUGGGAACAAUACUUGUUAUAAUAAUUAUGAGAAAACAGAAAUAAACACAAAAAAACAUGUUAAUAUAUCUGAAUCUGAAAGUAAACAACAAUAUACAUCCGAACCUGAAAACACAGAUAUAUACGAAUGUGCACAUACAAUUAUAAAUAAUUAUUUAUUUGGUUUAAAUUUACAACAUAAAAAUAAUAAUAAAAGACAAAGGUUUUAUAAUUAUAUUAUUAAUAAAAAGAAUAAAAAAGAAGAUAGUUAUAAUGAUAUUUGCUCUGAUAUGAAAAAAACGAUAGAUAUGCAUUUUAAAGAAAAUAAACAUGACGUUAUCAUCGCUUUUGAAAAAAAGAAAGAUUUUCUUUACUAUUUGUAUAAUUAUGAUAAUACGAAAAAAAUUAAUUUUGAUAAAUAUUAUAAUGAAAUUAAAAAUGUAUAUGUUAAUAAUUUUAAUGUAUAUUAUAUUAUGAGGCAGAUUUUAUUGGGUAUGUAUUACAGUAGUAGUAAUAACUGUAGUAGUGAUAAUAACUGUAGUAUUGGUCAUAACUGUAGUAGUGGUCAU